UGCGUUUGGGACUGUGCUGGCUGAUGACUUAACCCCGGGAGAUGCCGCUGGCAGAAGCAGCUCUGCAGGUCGCCUGGCAAGACCUGUCCCAGUUCCCAUGAGCAGCACUAUGGUAUGAAUGCUUCUGACUUCCUGCUACCAAUGGAACCAUCCUGUUCAGCUCCACUCUUCAUGGAGGGAAGGGAACAGGCCUUACCCUUCAAGCACCACGCUAAGAAGCGCCUGUUGUGUCCUGUCCAUAACACAUCCCAGUGUCAGGGCAAGGUAGAAUGCAGUCAGUCUGCACUCUGAGAUGGAGAAGGAAAAAUCAGCAGAGGAGAGCAGAGAAUGCUCCCUGCAUGGACACACACACACCGGUUCCAACAGCUCUUCUUCAUCUACAGUGAACUAUGCUAGUAGAAUCUGUGCAGCCAGGAGCAAGCAGCAGAGCAUCUGUACACCACUUGGGGAGCAAAACCAACAGGCAUUUUCUCCUCCAGACAUUCACACCUUUCCUUAUGUAACUGGUGCUGAAGUGUGUGCUUUAAAAGCUGCUUGCCAAAUCCAGGGGCUGGGAGGCAGCACAAACGCUUCUAGCACUCUAGCUGAAAUUGAGGGGGAAAAAAAUCCAAACCCAAACACCCAGGAACUAGUACAAAUAUGUAACCACAACUUGGGGAUGGUUCAAGUGUCUCCAGCAGUGUUAUCCUGAAGAAACUGCAUUGGCCUAGGGCAGUGCUGGCACCCAGACCACCAUCUGAUGAGGAUGGUGAGGAGCUGACAGUCCAGGAUAGAGGAGCGAGGAGCUGGGGGUUAUUUUUCUUAUGCAAUAUUAAAAAAAAAACCCUAAAAAAAAAAAAAAAUCAGGUAGUGCAGCCAGGAAAAGGGUGCC